UUAUUAUUUAAUAUGCAACUUACAUUAACAUGGAAUGUCUAAUUGACUUAAUGUCUCGAAGCUACUGAAUAUGAAUUUCUGCUCAAAUCUCUUCCUUUCUGUAGGAAGUUUUUGGCUGUUUCGGUUACUUUCCUCUACAUUUAUAUUGAUGAGUUGAAGCACUUGUUUCUACGAGAUGUUUAAAAUUCGGCUGACUUUACGAGUGUUAACACUCGUAACCAGGGUUGGGUACGCAUAAUACCUCAUGUUUUAUGCGCAGAGUUGUAUGCGCAGAAAACUCGAGUAUUCUGCGCAGAAAACUGAGCGAGGUUUUCUGCUGCAUAAAACUCCUCUUAUGCAGAAAACCUCCUUUAAGUGAAAAUGUCAAAUACAGGAGGAAGACGUUCUCAUGAUUAUUAUAUUGAAGGUGAAUUUAUCAGGGUCAGAGAAAAUGGAAAAUAUUUUGCAAUUUGCAAAUUAUGCAAUACAAGGUUGUGCACUACUGCAGUAAAACACCUGAAAACUCAUCGAAAAACCUUAAAGUGGUUACCGGCGAAAAUGGACUUGGUUUGAGAAAAUGUGGCGCCCCCUGAAAAAAUGGUCAUCAACUACAUUGAUUACGUUAGAGAGAAACCUGAGAGCGGCCACGGCCGCGUUUUGCUUGAGGCGCUUUUUCGCGACUAAAGCCACUAGAUAUAUAAAGUACCGCAAUCCGUGGUAAACGACAUGGAAUAAAAAUGGCGUCGGAAGUGUACUUAGUGCAAACGUGCAACUUAUCUACACACUAAGUGCAAUUCUACAAACAGCUAUUGAGUUGUUUCUCGUGUAAGAAAUGUCACAUAUUGACAGGUGUGAAGAGAUUGUGAUACGAGAUUGUAAUAAAAAGAAAAAAUGACAGGUUGUUGCGUGAAUGGAUGCAACAAUCGGACAGAGAAAGGUUUUAGAGUAUUUUGCUUACCUUCUAGUAAAAGGAAUAAAGCACGUCGAGAGAAAUGGGCUACGUUAAUUGGACGAAACACAUUGCCCGAAAAGGCAUAUGUUUGUGAGGUACAUUUUGACAACAAUCAAUUUGAAAAUGAACGAGCGGAUGGAAGGAAACUGCUUCGCCCAAAUACAGUACCGAAUUUACUGCAAAAGCACACAGCUGAAAAUGUAGCCGAACAGCCAGAAGCUACAAUAAAUUCCACUGAGGUGGAAAAUAUAUACUUUUGUUAUAGCGCGAAUACACUUUUCGUUAAAAAAAAAGAUUAUAUCAGCGAGCCAAAUAUCAAUAUCAAUAAU
rnacentral:misc_RNA from 1 species